rnacentral:rRNA from 1 species
UGACCUACGGCAGAGUAUAGUAUCUGCUUCAAACCGUCUUAGUUCUAAGACAACACUUGAUCAUUUGGCCUCAAAUCAGGU